UUUAAAGGAAGUAGUAGGCAGGGAAGAAGUGCAUGCAGAAGUGGAUGGAGGAAAGCUUAAUGAUAACAUCAAUGAGGAACGUCUCUCCAGCAGAAGUGGAGCACAAGUCUUAAAGUGACCCACAAAAGUGGUGCACACUUUUGCAGAACAGUAAGCCAAGUGGUAAACUGAACUGGGCCUACAGUGUUGAGUGUGUUAUAUUACUGAAACUGUUCCUGUGGUUAAAAAAAGGAACUGAUGCAAAGAAAAGGAGCAAUCCCCCAUUCUGGAGCCAUGAAUGCCAAUUUUGGUGAGUGUGAAAGCCUCAAGGACCUGUGAGCCUCAGUGGUACUCCAGACCUGCUGUUUAUAGAGGCUUUCUCCCCCUGGGAAAUUUCCAGAAAGCGGAGUCUCCUGCUGUGUCUGGUGCCUUCUGCACCUAAGAUAAUUUGCUUCUCCUUAGCAACAUUCUUUUUCCUGGCAUGUUUGGAGUCCCCGAGAUGAACACUCUGAUAUCAUAAGGGGAAAUGAAUACAGAUGAAAAGGAAUGAUUCCAAAGGAAUGAUGACCUCUGUUUUUGAGGAUGGCUCCCUUAGGAAUGCAAUUUGCUCUUCAGCUCAAGAAACGUG